rnacentral:rRNA from 1 species
GAUGAACGCUAGCGGCAGGCUUAAUACAUGCAAGUCGAACGGCAGCACAGGUAGCAAUACUGGGUGGCGAGUGGCGCACGGGUGCGUAACACGUAUGCAACUUACCCUUUACCGAGACAUAACCCAUCGAAAGGUGAGCUAAUAUCUCAUAACAUUAUGAACUGGCAUCAGUUUAUAAUUAAAGUUCCGGUGGUAGAGGAUAGGCAUGCGUCCCAUUAGCUAGUUGGUAAGGUAACGGCUUACCAAGGCGACGAUGGGUAGGGGUUCUGAGAGGAAAAUCCCCCACACUGGUACUGAGACACGGACCAGACUCCUACGGGAGGCAG